CUCCCCCCGGGUAUCCCAAAGGGCUGGGACUACAAAUUGGGUUUGCGCCUCUAUGACCCCAGGCUUGGCUCUGAUCCUCACUCCGGAUCUUGCUCCUGAUCUCUGGAGUGGUAGAAAUAAUCCAGCCCACACGUUUUAACUUGAAUGGAUUUCUGUAAGUGACUGCAUCUCUUUGAUCUGAGGCUCCUGUCUGCAAGGACAAGAACGAUGUAAUUGGAACCACCAAUGGCAGACACAGAAAGAAAACAGGAUUGACAAGCUGGCACCAUGUGAGCCCAUGAGAGCCAAACCAUGGCAAGGGGAUUGCAGAGAGUCAGAUUCUCCACUGAGCCCUGCCCCGGCAGGAAGGCAAGCUCCAGUCAAGGGUGGAACAAGGUGACGCCCACGUUCAGCCAUAGGAAGCUCGCACAUCUCCUGCCACCAGCCACGACAGCCCCCGUCCUGCACAGGCAGGCCCGAAUCUUGGGAAACACAAUGGCUGCCGCCAUCACAGUUAUAGAUAUUCACAGGUCUCAGAGAAGCCCAAAUGCAAUCCUAGCUGACACGAUAACGGAUAUUUAGCAGGGAGUGGAGAGCCCAGGGAAGAAUACUGUGAUGCUGAUGGGGAAUAUUGAUGACUCCCAGUUUGCAGAUAGUGGCACGUGGUGACACCUCCUCACUGUGUGAUCCAGGGGCCUUCCCUGAUGUGGUCCUGGAUGUUUCUGUACUGAUGGCCUCACUCCCCUGGCUGCUUGGCUCUGUACUGGGAUUUUCAUCUCAGGAUGUGUGAAACCAGCCUGAAGACAGUUCUUGUAAAAAUGUCCUUGAAACCAUGAAAUUGGCGCAAGACCGAUCAGAACUGAGAUAGGAAAGUCACUCAAAGAACUCGAAAGCCUACCAGGCCAGAAAGGGUGGUCUACGACUUAAUUGGUUGUAUCAACCCAUGUAAGCAAGGACUAUGUCCUUCAGAAAUGGAUGAACGAGAAUGGAA